AGUGGCCAAGUGGUUGAGACGACCGCCUGGUAUGCCAGUAGUCGUGGGUUCAAAUCUC
rnacentral:tRNA from 1 species